rnacentral:rRNA from 1 species
GUAGUAGUGGGUGUAGCGUACCUACUAGCCUACGACGGGUACGGGUUGUGAGAGCAAGAGCCCGGAGAUGGAUUCUGAGACACGAAUCCAGGCCCUACGGGGUGCAGCAGGCGCGAAAACUUUACAAUGCUGGAAACAGCGAUAAGGGGACCUCGAGUGCCAGGUUACAAAUCUGGCUGUCGUGAUGCCUAAAAAGCAUUGCAUAGCAAGGGCCGGGCAAGACCGGUGCCAGCCGCCGCGGUAACACCGGCGGCUCGAGUGGUAACCGUUAUUAUUGGGUCUAAAGGGUCUGUAGCCGGCCGGAUAAGUCUCUUGGGAAAUCUGGCAGCUUAACUGUCAGGCUUUCAGGAGAUACUGUCUGGCUCGAGGCCGGGAGAGGUGAGAGGUACUUCAGGGGUAGGGGUGAAAUCUUGUAAUCCUUGAAGGACCACCAGUGGCGAAGGCGUCUCACCAGAACGGACCUGACGGCAAGGGACGAAAGCUAGGGGCACGAACCGGAUUAGAUACCCGGGUAGUCCUAGCCGUAAACGAUACUCGCUAGGUGUCGGCAACGGUGCGACCGUUGUCGGUGCCGUAGGGAAGCCGUGAAGCGAGCCACCUGGGAAGUACGGCCGCAAGGCUGAAACUUAAAGGAAUUGGCGGGGGAGCAC